CAUGUUUUGAAUUCCUUUUUUUCCCUAGUUCUCAAAUCCACCGUUAUUUUUUUGAAAACCAAUACUGAUAAAGCCUAGAUCUAGCCUUGAAUCUUAGAAAAAAAAAAUGAACUACCUUUGUUCUUAUGUUAUCGUUUAAGCUUCAGAGUGGAAACGGUUACAGUUUGGGUUGUGUGGGUGUGGGUGUCGGCUGAUGGUGGUGGUUGGUGUAGGCUUUAGGCCGCGUGAGUGAGUGGGUUACUGUGUUCGCGUGGGUUUCUGUUCUAACGUUUCGAUUUCUAGGGAAGGAAAUGAAUAGUAUGAGCAAGAUGAUUUUGGUUUUUUCUUGUGUUGGUGGUUCACGGAGGGGGAGGGUGGCGCUGAGUGGUGGCUCUGAGUGGUGGCUCGUGGUGGCUCUGAGUGGUGGCUCUAGGCCGAUGGUGGUGGUUCGCGGAGGAGGAGAGUGGCGGUUGAGUGGUGGCUAGGCCGAUGGUGGUGGUUCGCGGAGGAGGAAAGGGGCUGUUGAGUGGUGGCUCGUGGUGGCUAGGCUGUUGGUAUUCUGACUGUUCGUAUUCACCUCUGCCCUCUCUCUCUCCCUCUGACAUGCACAGUAAUUAAUGCAGCAUUUAAAGGACAUAAUUAGGGUAAAAAACGAAGAGCCCCUCUGGGCCUGGACC